rnacentral:rRNA from 1 species
AGUCGAACGGCAGCGCGGGGCAACCUGGCGGCGAGUGGCGAACGGGUGAGUAAUAUAUCGGAACGUACCCUGGAGUGGGGGAUAACGUAGCGAAAGUUACGCUAAUACCGCAUACGAUCUAAGGAUGAAAGUGGGGGAUUCGCAAGAACCUCAUGCUCCUGGAGCGGCCGAUAUCUGAUUAGCUAGUUGGUGGGGUAAAGGCUCACCAAGGCUUCGAUCAGUAGCUGGUCUGAGAGGACGACCAGCCACACUGGAACUGAGACACGGUCCAGACUCCUACGGGAGGCAGCAGUGGGGAAUUUUGGACAAUGGGCGCAAGCCUGAUCCAGCAAUGCCGCGUGAGUGAAGAAGGCCUUCGGGUUGUAAAGCUCUUUUGUCAGGGAAGAAACGGUGAGGGCUAAUAUCCUUUGCUAAUGACGGUACCUGAAGAAUAAGCACCGGCUAACUACGUGCCAGCAGCCGCGGUAAUACGUAGGGUGCAAGCGUUAAUCGGAAUUACUGGGCGUAAAGCGUGCGCAGGCGGUUUUGUAAGUUUGUCGUGAAAGCCCCGGGCUCAACCUGGGAAUUGCGAUGAAGACUGCAAGGCUUGAAUCUGGCAGAGGGGGGUAGAAUUCCACGUGUAGCAGUGAAAUGCGUAGAGAUGUGGAGGAACACCGAUGGCGAAGGCAGCCCCCUGGGUCAAGAUUGACGCUCAUGCACGAAAGCGUGGGGAGCAAACAGGAUUAGAUACCCUGGUAGUCCACGCCCUAAACGAUGUCUACUAGUUGUCGGGUUUUAAUUAACUUGGUAACGCAGCUAACGCGUGAAGUAGACCGCCUGGGGAGUACGGUCGCAAGAUUAAAACUCAAAGGAAUUGAC